rnacentral:rRNA from 1 species
AGAGUUUGAUCAUGGCUCAGAACGAACGCUGGCGGCAGGCCUAACACAUGCAAGUCGAGCGCCCAGCAAUGGGAGCGGCGGACGGGUGAGUAACGCGUGGGAAUUUUUCCUGGAGUACGGAACAACCGAGGGAAACUUCGGCUAAUACCGUAUGAUGUCUAGCGACCAAAGAUUUAUCGCUCUGGGGUAAGCCCGCGUCAGAUUAGGUAGUUGGUGGGGUAACGGCCUACCAAGCCUGCGAUCUGUAGCUGGUCUGAGAGGACGAUCAGCCACACUGGGACUGAGACACGGCCCAGACUCCUACGGGAGGCAGCAGUGGGGAAUCUUGCGCAAUGGGCGAAAGCCUGACGCAGCCAUGCCGCGUGAGUGAAGAAGGUCUUAGGAUUGUAAAGCUCUUUCGCUCGUGACGAUGAUGACGGUAACGAGAGAAGAGCC